GAGUAAAUGGAUCGAGUAGUGG
rnacentral:siRNA from 1 species